AUGAGUUUAAAGAGGUGCUUUCUCUCUCACUUUCGUCGGCUAUGGACAAAAGAGAGCCGCUGGAGGAUGAUGUUAUUUCCUUAACAUUGUCUCAUUCGGGGGCCAGUGCUCUAUGGGAUUCAGCCGAGGAAGAGCAGGAGAUGUCUGAGGAUGGUGAAGAAGCUGAGGCUGAGCCUUUCCAAUCCUCUUGCCCUGCAUAUGACGAGCUGUUGAAGGUUAUGGAUUGCGCCAGGUGAGGCUGGACUUGCCGUGGAAGUGGGCUAAGAAAGUGACAUUGCAAGGUUAUCUCUCUGAGCAUUAUCUUUUUGGCCAUAGCCCUUCAGCUCAGGGCCGAGCAAUAUCAAACUCCUUCUGAAUGUCUUGAAGACUCCAAGACUCUUCUCUUUGACUAGACUUUCCAUCGUGUCUGCCAUUUGACCAUCCAUCAGUCGGAUCAAUCCUGCAGAAAAUGCAUCAAAAACUUUAAGAAAAGUUGAAUAAUUGUAACAAAACCA